AUUCCCUGAAGCUACGUACUAGAGCAACUAAUGUCAUUCAACUUGCCCUUUUUACGAAUAACGAAAUAAAAAGGAGCGUUUCCCUUUUCGCUAACUCUCCCGAGGGUGGACUUCUGUCCCGAAUUCCUGGGGGAAUAUAUUCUUUGCACCGUGAUGUACAAGUUCCCGGGGACGUCGUGUAUCAUGUCGCGAAACAUCGCGUCAAAGAAAGGGCAGGAAAUAGCGGACGGGCGGCCUCGGACGCGAGCUCUCGUGUCGUUUAUCGAUACGUUGCUCUUGACGAAAUAUCGGCGCGAUGUAGCGGAGAGAAGUUUCUGAAAAGCACUUCGGCCCCGGCGAGGGAAAGUUUCGACCAACCAUCUACGAGUGUUCCUUCCGCCGUGAACGACAACGGCCAAAGUUUGCUUAUGAAUAAAUUUCGUCGCAUCAUCGCGUUUACCCGCCGUUUAUUACUUUCCCGCUGUCGCUCGAGUUCCAGGCCUUGCAGCCGCGUCCGCGAAAACGUGCUUCUCACGAGGAUUUUAUAUAAAAAAAAGAGAGAGAGAGACGUCCCUUUUCUUUGUGAUGUACUUUAACCUUUAAUUAAAUCUCGAUUUAAUUAAGAAAAAA